rnacentral:rRNA from 1 species
GGAAAAGAAACCAACCGGGAUUGCCUCAGUAACGGCGAGUGAAGCGGCAAGAGCUCAAAUUUGAAAUCUUCGGAGUUGUAAUUUGAAGGCGCCACUUUCGGCCCAAGGAAGUGCCUUGGAACAGGCCAUCGCAGAGGGUGAGAGUCCCGUCAGAUGGGCCGGCAUGGGGCGCCGACGAGUCGAGUUGUUUGGGAAUGCAGCUCUAAGUGGGUGGUAAAUUCCAUCUAAAGCUAAAUAGCGGCGAGAGACCGAUAGCGAACAAGUACAGUGAUGGAAAGAUGAAAAGAACUUUGAAAAGAGAGUGAAACAGUACGUGAAAUUGUUGAAAGGGAAGGGCAGGCCAUCAGCACGCGGGGCCGGCAUGCGCGGCACAGACAAGACCCCGGGAGCAGCGCAGCGAUGCCCGGGGGGAUGUGUGCGGCGCGUGGCGGCCGGGCCUAAUGAUGGUCUGCCGCCCG